CAGCAACCUUUCUGGCAGCACUGGGGGAAAGGAAGCAGGAGUUGCAGCACAUCCAGUAAGCCAUUUGAAGACCUGCAAGAAGAUAAGGUCUCACCAGCCUCUCUUUAGCAUAGACAGCAAAGCUUGUGGAGUUGGUUUGGAAGCAAAGGUAGUGCUGACCAGAGGCGUGAGCUGUGAAGAGAAACCAGCCAGCACCUGUUUUUAAUGUACCACCACCACACACAAGUCUGUGUGACCCUGGCUUGGUGAUAAACCUCUUCUGUGAGUGCAGUACCUCAUGGUUUGGGUCUCUGACUGUCACAGUGAUGCCGAGAUGAGGGGAGUUGGUUAAUGUCUUCAAAUCCCAAGGCUCCAAAAAGAAAUAACCUGAAGGACUCACCGGUGACCAGCAGGUCUUCAGGAAUCUCCUCAAUGAUGCAUUUUUCCUCCUGUGCUCCGAGAUCAAA